rnacentral:pre_miRNA from 1 species
CAAUUAUUCCCUCCGUUUCAUAAUUCUUGUCAAAAUACUACAUGUAUCUAAACGCUUUUUAGUAAUAGAUACAUCCAUUUUUGGACAAAUUUGAGACAAGAAUUAUGAAACAGAGGUAGUAGUUG